GUCAGUGUGAUGGAGUGGUUUGAAUGUUGGACUACAAUUCUGGAGACCAAGGUUCAAAUCCCUGCUCAGCCA